rnacentral:snoRNA from 1 species
UGGUCAUUACCAAGGCUUUUAGAACUCAGUUUCCCAUUUGCUGUGGACAUGACCAUAAAAAAAUUUCCCACUAGGGUUUAUAUAAGCUACCUUAUUAGCAAUCAACCUAUUGGAAACACUA